rnacentral:rRNA from 1 species
AUUGAACGCUGGCGGCAGGCCUAACACAUGCAAGUCGAACGAGUGGCGGACGGGUGAGUAAUGUCUGGGAAACUGCCUGAUGGAGGGGGAUAACUACUGGAAACCGUAGCUAAUACCGCAUACCAUCGGAUGUGCCCAGAUGGGAUCCGCUAGUAGGUGGGGUAAAGGCGCACCUAGGCGACGAUCCCUAGCUGGUCUGAGAGGAUGACCAGCCACACUGGAAAGGGGACACGGUCCAGGCUCCUACGGGAGGCAGCAGUGGGAAAUAUUGAGCGAUGGGCGCAGGCCUGAUGCAGCCAUGCCACGUGUAUGAAGAAGGCCUUCGGGUUGUAAAGGACUUUCAGCGGGGAGGCGUUACCCGCAGAAGAAGCACCGGCUAACUCCGUGCCAGCCGCCGCGGUAAUUC